UACGGAGGGGGCUAGCGUUGUUCGGAAUUACUGGGCGUAAAGCGCGCGUAGGCGGCUUUGUAAGUUAGAGGUGAAAGCCCGGAGCUCAACUUCGGAAUUGCCUUUAAGACUGCAUCGCUUGAAUCAUGGAGAGGUCAGUGGAAUUCCGAGUGUAGAGGUGAAAUUCGUAGAUAUUCGGAAGAACACCAGUGGCGAAGGCGACUGACUGGACAUGUAUUGACGCUGAGGUGCGAAAGCGUGGGUAGCAAACAGG
rnacentral:rRNA from 1 species